rnacentral:rRNA from 1 species
CCUACGGGUGGCUGCAGUGGGGAAUAUUGCACAAUGGGCGCAAGCCUGAUGCAGCCAUGCCGCGUGUGUGAAGAAGGCCUUCGGGUUGUAAAGCACUUUCAGCGGGGAGGAAGGCGGUGAGGUUAAUAACCUCAUCGAUUGACGUUACCCGCAGAAGAAGCACCGGCUAACUCCGUGCCAGCAGCCGCGGUAAUACGGAGGGUGCAAGCGUUAAUCGGAAUUACUGGGCGUAAAGCGCACGCAGGCGGUCUGUCAAGUCGGAUGUGAAAUCCCCGGGCUCAACCUGGGAACUGCAUUCGAAACUGGCAGGCUAGAGUCUGGUAGAGGGGGGUAGAAUUCCAGGUGUAGCGGUGAAAUGCGUAGAGAUCUGGAGGAAUACCGGUGGCGAAGGCGGCCCCCUGGACAAAGACUGACGCUCAGGUGCGAAAGCGUGGGGAGCAAACAGGAUUAGAUACCCUAGUAGUC